rnacentral:rRNA from 1 species
AUUGAACGCUGGCGGCAUGCCUUACACAUGCAAGUCGAACGGCAGCGGACCUUCGGGUGCCGGCGAGUGGCGAACGGGUGAGUAAUAUAUCGGAACGUACCUUUCAGUGGGGGAUAACGUAGCGAAAGUUACGCUAAUACCGCAUAUUCUGUGAGCAGGAAAGCAGGGAAUCGCAAGACCUUGCGCUGAUUGAGCGGCCGAUAUCAGAUUAGCUAGUUGGUGAGGUAAAGGCUCACCAAGGCGACGAUCUGUAGCGGGUCUGAGAGGAUGAUCCGCCACACUGGAACUGAGACGCGGUCCAGACUCCUACGGGAGGCAGCAGUGGGGAAUUUUGGACAAUGGGCGCAAGCCUGAUCCAGCCAUGCCGCGUGAGUGAAGAAGGCCUUCGGUUGUAAAGUCGUCUUUCGGUCCGGGAACGGAAAGUACGACACAGGUUAAUACCCUGUGUGGAGUGACGGUACCGGAAGUAAGAAG